CAGGUGCAACAGGUAGUUGCUGGUGACAUUUGUGUCACGAGAGGAAAGUCCGGGCUGCAAGUGAGACAGGACUCCAUCUAACGGAUGGCCAGAGUAAUCUGAGGGCAAGUGCAACAGAAAGUAAACCGCCAGACUUUGUUUGGUAAGGGUGAAAGGGUGGGGCAAGAGCCCACCGGUGAGUGUGGUAACACGCUCAGCCAGGUAAACCCUGUCCGCAGCAAGAAGUAUAUGGUAUAAGUCUCACAAGCCGUUCAGUCGGCACUCAUACUUCGCUCGAGCCUGCUGGCAACAACAGGCCUAGAUAAAUAACUACCCAAUGACAGAACCCGGCUUAUCGUUGCACCUAUUAU
rnacentral:RNase_P_RNA from 19 species